rfam:Myotis lucifugus cont2.19636, whole genome shotgun sequence.
AGGCCGGGAGAAAGAAGCAGGGUCUGAUCCGUAGCCUCCAUGCAGCUGUUGAUCAGCACUUGCCUCUCUCUUUCUCUCCA